UACGUAGGGGGCAAGCGUUGUCCGGAAUCAUUGGGCGUAAAGAGCGUGUAGGCGGUCCGAUAAGUCGGUUGUGAAAGUCCAGGGCUCAACCCUGGGAUGCCGACCGAUACUGUCGGACUAGAGUUCGGAAGAGGCGAGUGGAAUUCCUGGUGUAGCGGUGAAAUGCGCAGAUAUCAGGAAGAACACCCGUGGCGAAGGCGGCUCUCUGGGACGGUACUGACGCUGAGACGCGAAAGCGUGGGGAGCGAACAGG
rnacentral:rRNA from 1 species